UCUCUGGUAUUCUAGCGGUUAAGGAUCCAGCAUUGUCACUGCUGUGGCUUGGAUUAGAUUCCUGGCCUGGGAA
rnacentral:tRNA from 1 species